UUCCGGUUGAUCCUGCCGGAGGCUACCGCUAUUGGAGUUCGAUUAAGCCAUGCGAGUCUAGAGGCUUCGGCCUCGGCGUACCGCUCAGUAACACGUGGGUAACCUGCCCUAUGGAGGGGAAUACCUCGGGAAACUGAGAAUAAUGCCCCAUAGCCCACUACGCCUGGAACGGUGAGUGGGUCAAAGCUCCGGCGCCAUAGGAUGGGCCUGCGCCGUAUCAGGUUGUAGGGGGUGUAAAGUACCCUCUAGCCAUCAACGCGUACGGGUGUUGGGAGACACUGCCCGGAGAUGGAUUCUGAGACACGAAUCCAGACCCUACGGGGUGCAGCAGGCGCGAAAACUUGGCAAUGCGAGAAAUCGUGACCAGGGAACACCAAGUGGCAGGGGUAAGACCCUGUCUUUUUCCGACUCUAAAUAGGUCGGCGAAUAAGGGGUGGGUAAGGACGGUGCCAGCCGCCGCGGUAAUACCGGCGCCUCAAGUGGUAGUCGCUUUUAUUGGGCCUAAAACGUCCGUAGCCGGUCUGGUACAUUCGUGGGUAAAUCAACUCGCUUAACGAGUUGAAUUCUGCGAGGACGGCCAGACUUGGGACCGGGAGAGGUGUGGGGUACUCUCAGGGUAGGGGUAAAAUCCUGUCAUCCUGAGAGGACCACCUGUUGCGAAGGCUCCACACUAGAACGGAUCCGACGGUCAGGGACGAAGCCUAGGGGCACGAACCGGAUUAGAUACCCGGGUAGUCCUAGGUGUAAACGCUGUGGACUUGAUGUUGGGGACGCUCCGAGCGUUCUCAGUGUCGAAGCGAAGGCGAUAAGUCCACUGCCUGGGGAGUACGGUCGCAAGGCUGAAACUUAAAGGAAUUGGCGGGGGAGCAC
rnacentral:rRNA from 1 species